rnacentral:rRNA from 1 species
GAUGAACGCUGGCGGCGUGCCUAACACAUGCAAGUCGAGCGAUCUUCUUCGGAAGAGAGCGGCGGACGGGUGAGUAACGCGUGGGUAACCUGCCCUGUACACACGGAUAACAUACCGAAAGGUAUGCUAAUACGAGAUAAUAUGCUUUUAUCGCAUGGUAGAAGUAUCAAAGCUCCGGCGGUACAGGAUGGACCCGCGUCUGAUUAGCUAGUUGGUAAGGUAACGGCUUACCAAGGCGACGAUCAGUAGCCGACCUGAGAGGGUGAUCGGCCACAUUGGAACUGAGACACGGUCCAAACUCCUACGGGAGGCAGCAGUGGGGAAUAUUGCACAAUGGGCGAAAGCCUGAUGCAGCAACGCCGCGUGAGCGAUGAAGGCCUCCGGGUCGUAAAGCUCUGUCCUCAAGGAAGAUAAUGACGGUACUUGAGGAGGAAGCCCCGGCUAACUACGUGCCAGCAGCCGCGGUAAU